GGAGGAGCUUCGAGGAUGCCCCAACAACAGUGGCCCAGGCUGCGGAGCGGCCCCGGCUGCUCUGCUGCCAACUUCAAAGGGCUUGGUGCUGAAAAUCCAGAGGACCGAGUUCGAGACUCACUUUGACUCACAACACACUAUCAAGUUGCUUCCUCAACACGGCCUCAGAUGCACCAGCAUCUCAGGGCAACAACUUUAACUCGACCGGCCCUCCGCGGCGGCGGGCAAAGUGAGGAGCGGGCUGGGAGGCGGUGCCCCCCCCGCACUACUCUCCGCUCGGCCCGACUUGGAGGGGGCGGUGCUGGGGAGCAGGAGGCGACCUCGCCGCGUCGCGGGAGCCGCCCCCGAGCAGCCUCACCUUCCGCACGCGCUUCUUCCGGAUGCUCUCCACCGCAAACACCUGCUCGCCUAUGGCUGACAGCUCCAUGCGGGGCGGCGGGCGACGGGCCGGGGGCCGGGCCGGGCCGGGCCGGGUCGGGGGUGGAGCUGCGGGGCCGCGGCUGCUGCGCGCGAUGCUCGGGGCGGCGGGGACCCCUUCAGGCUCGGCCGGGCGCGCACGCGCACGCGCGCACACCCCCUAGCGCUCCCUCACGCCGCCGCCGACGUUCCAUUUUUGAACCUGCGCAACGUUUUCCUCCGCGCCAGCGGGGCGGGCGGACGGGCGGGCGGACGGGCGGACGGGCAGGCGGGCGCGAGCGCGCGCGCGCGCGCGCGCGGGGAGGAGGGGGGCGGGCCUCUGAGAGCGCCCAGCGGGUCAGCCCCGCCCCCUCGCGGCCGGGACCCCGCCCCUUUCCCUGGCCCCGCCCCUUUCCCUACCCCGGCCUGCUAGCCAAGUAGGGAGGCUGGCGGCGCGUCGGAUGCUCCCGGCUUACUUGGAGCCCGGGGUUUGAGCGUAACGAGGUGCGGUGCGCCCCAUCUCUCUCUUCCGCUUCUGAGCUGGACGUGAUCGUUCCCCCAACUCCUCCCCGUGACUCGGAAGGUCCGAAACGGUGUGGCCCCGAAGCCGAGAGCAGCAGGCCUGUGAUCUCAACACUUGGGCAGCUGAGGCAGGAGGAUCAGGAAGAGUUCAUGGCCAGCCUGAA